CUACGAGGCAUUCCUGUUGAGAGGUUGAUGAUAGAAACAUAUUCUCCAUAUUGUGACAUAAUAAAUACUCAUGCUGGAAGCCAGUAUGUAAAAUCUGUCUGGCCAUCCAAGAAGAAAGAAAAGUAUGAGCCAGAUUCAACAGUAAAAGGUCGCAAUGAGCCUUGUUUAGUCAGGCAAGUUCUUGAGGUAGUGGCUGGAAGCAAAGGAAUUUCUGACAUAGAAGGCCUGAGUAGAACUCUGUACC